CUCACCCAAACCUAUAACUGGCCCUAGCUUCAUCAAAACGUAUAAGGUGCAGCCUUGCUUUGUAACCAUGGGACUCAAAGAUUUCAUGGAGUUCAAGAUCAUGUCAGCAAUCUAGCGCAAAACGAUGCUUGAAAGCUUAACUAAAUUUAAGAUCCAAAAAUAACCAUACUCAGUUCUUAACCUUCUAAUUCUAUCCUUUAUUACGGAAUUAGGCCUUUAUCAAAGCAGAA
rnacentral:lncRNA from 1 species